UCGUUGAUUUUCCUAGUACGGCGAGUGAGAGGAAAGAGCUCAAAGUUGGAACCUGUUUGGCCUAGCUAAACAGGAUUGUAAACUGUAGAAGUGUUUUCCAGGCAAUCCGAGUUAAUAAGUCCUUUGGAACAGGGCAUCAUAGAGGGUGAGAAUCCCGUCUUUGAUUCGAGAUAUUUUGUCUUUUGCGAUACACUUUCAAAGAGUCAGGUUGUUUGGGAAUGCAGCCUAAAUUGGGUGGUAAAUCUCACCUAAAGCUAAAUAUUGGCGAGAAACCGAUAGCGAACAAGUACCGUGAGGGAAAGAUGAAAAGAACUUUGAAAAGAGAGUUAAACAGUAUGUGAAAUUGUUAAAAGGGAACCGUUUGGAGCCAGACUGGCUUGUCUGUAAUCAAUCUAGGUUUCGUGCCUGGAUGCACUUGCAGACUAUUUGCCUGCCAACGACAAUUUUUUUUGAGUGUAAAAACUAUUGGAAAUGUGGCCAAUAUUUAUUUAUUGGUGUUAUAGUCCUUUAGAAAAUACCUUGAAUUGGAUUGAGGAACGCAGCGAAUGCUUCUCUUUUGAGGCAAAGUCUUUUAUUGGGAUUUACGGAUCAGACUGUGGCAUUGUCACAAGACUUGAAGUUUAAACCUAUUUUUGAACUUUUAUUCGCUUAGGUUGUUGGCUUAAUGACUCUAAAUGACCGCUGAAAAACAAGAACCCACCAAAAA
rnacentral:rRNA from 1 species